CGCGUAGGCGGUCUUGUCGGUCAGAUGUGAAAGCCCGGGGCUCAACCCUGGAAGUGCAUUUGAAACAGCAAGGCUUGAAUACUGGAGAGGAGAGCGGAAUUCCUGGUGUAGAGGUGAAAUUCGUAGAUAUCAGGAGGAACACCGAUGGCGAAGGCAGCUCUCUGGACAGAUAUUGACGCUGAGGCGCGAAGGUGUGGGUAGCGAACAGGAUUAGAUACCCUGGUAGUCC
rnacentral:rRNA from 1 species